rnacentral:misc_RNA from 1 species
AUCAAAGUAACCUGCACCAAUGGAAUUAAUGCAAUGUGAAGUGUAAUAAUUGGUGAAGAAGAGAUGAGCCUACUGUAUAAAUUUCUACGUUUUCAUUUUCUAACACUGAUUAUCUACAGAAAUAAUGAAAAUUUCAAUUAAAAAACAGUAAUGAUAAAUUAAAAAAAGAAAGGAUCCAGCUCCAGUUCCAUUUUUUGAAAUUAUUAUAUUGCACUGUUGUUGGAAAUUUCAUGAACCGCUUCUCGAGGCAAAGAAAGAUUCCAAG